CAUAGAAUUCCUCCCCAAGGAGACUAAAAUAACAACAAAUGGUUGCUGCUCUAACUCUGAACACAAAGAAAAAAACUCAAACCAAAUCUAACCAAAACAGCAUGACGUGCAUUUCAUAUUUUCCUUUCCCCCUUUAGUUCUCUUUAUCUUCAAUUCAAAUGGUUUUAAGGUAAAGGAUGCGCAAUCGAACAACUGGUUAUUCCUUCAACUAGAUAGGCUUGUUCUGUGACUCAGCAUUCCUGAAAUUCCUGAAAAGGAAAAGGAAAGGGAAAGUAUAAAUGAAAGGAGAGGCUAAGUUUAAAAAUAGGAAUUGAAAUGAAAGUGUAAAGGAAAGGAAAGUAUACAGAAAAGGAAAGUAUGAAAAGAAAGGAAAGGAAACGGAAAAGACAAGAAGAAAAAGAAAAGAAAAAAGAAAAGAAAAGAAAAAAGAAAAGAAAAAAAGAAAAGAAAAAGAAAAGAAUAGAAUAGAAAAGAAGAAAAGACAAGAAAAGAGAAGAAAAGAAAGAAAAGAAAAGAAAAGAGAAAAGAGAGAGAAGAAGAGGAAAAAAGAAAGGAAAAGAAAAAAGAAAAAGAAAAAAAGAAAAGAAGAAAAGAAGAAAACGUGUGUCUACAGCCAAAUGGAAAUUGAAGCAUUAACUCUACACAGGAAGUAAAUGCAGAAAAUGAUUCGUUUACUCCCUUUCCAUUUGCAC
rnacentral:lncRNA from 1 species